ACCUAGGAAACAGAUGACUAAUACCGGAUAACAACAGAUGAUGCCUAUCAACUGUUUAAAAGAUGGUUCUGCUAUCACUCUUGGAUGGACCUGCGGUGCAUUAGCUAGUUGGUAGGGUAACGGCCUACCAAGGCGAUGAUGCAUAGCCGAGUUGAGAGACUGAUCGGCCACAUUGGGACUGAGACACGGCCCAAACUCCUACGGGAGGCAGCAGUC
rnacentral:rRNA from 1 species